UACGUAGGGGGCUAGCGUUGUCCGGAAUCAUUGGGCGUAAAGAGCGUGUAGGCGGCCCGGUAAGUCCGCUGUGAAAGUCGGGGGCUCAACCCUCGAAUGCCGGUGGAUACUGUCGGGCUAGAGUGCGGAAGAGGCGAGUGGAAUUCCUGGUGUAGCGGUGAAAUGCGCAGAUAUCGGGAGGAACACCGAUUGCGAAGGCAGCUCGCUGGGACGGUACUGACGCUAAGGCGCGAAAGCGUGGGGAGCGAACAGG
rnacentral:rRNA from 1 species